rnacentral:rRNA from 1 species
GAUGAACGCUGGCGGCGUGCCUAAUACAUGCAAGUCGAGCGAACGGACGAGAAGCUUGCUUCUCUGAUGUUAGCGGCGGACGGGUGAGUAACACGUGGAUAACCUACCUAUAAGACUGGGAUAACUUCGGGAAACCGGAGCUAAUACCGGAUAAUAUUUUGAACCGCAUGGUUCAAAAGUGAAAGACGGUCUUGCUGUCACUUAUAGAUGGAUCCGCGCUGCAUUAGCUAGUUGGUAAGGUAACGGCUUACCAAGGCAACGAUGCAUAGCCGACCUGAGAGGGUGAUCGCCCACACUGGACCUGAGACACGGUCCAGACUCCUACGGGAGGCAGCAGUAGGGAAUCUUCCGCAAGGGGCGAAAGCCUGACGGAGCAACGCCGCGUGAGUGAUGAAGGUCUUCGGAUCGUAAAACUCUGUUAUUGGGGAAGAACAUAUGUGUAAGUACCUGUGCACAUCUGGACGGUACCUAAUCAGAAAGCCACGGCUACCUCCUU